rnacentral:rRNA from 1 species
GCCUAAAGAGAAGCUUGCGGCUGAUUAGCUUGUUGGUGAGGUAAUAGCUCACCAAGGCGACGAUCAGUAUCUGGUUUGAGAGGACGAUCAGACACACUGGAACUGAGACACGGUCCAGACUCCUACGGGAGGCAGCAGUAGGGAAUUUUCCGCAAUGGGCGAAAGCCUGACGGAGCAAUACCGCGUGAGGGAUGACGGCCUAUGGGUUGUAAACCUCUUUUUUCAGGGAGGAAUAAAUGACGUGUACCUGAAGAAUAAGCAUCGGCUAACUCCGUGCCAGCAGCCGCGGUAAGACGGAGGAUGCAAGUGUUAUCCGGAAUCACUGGGCGUAAAGCGUCUGUAGGUGGUCCAAUAAGUCAACUGUUAAAUCUUGAGGCUCAACCUCAAAAUCGCAGUCGAAACUAUUAGACUAGAGUAUAGUAGGGGUAAAGGGAAUUUCCAGUGGAGCGGUGAAAUGCGUAGAUAUUG